GAUGAAGAACGUAGCGAAAUGCGAUAAGUAAUGCGAAUUGCAGAAUUCAGUGAGUCAUCGAAUCUUUGAACGCACAUUGCGCCCUGUGGUAUUCCGCAGGGCAUGCCUGUUCGAGCGUCAUUUCAACCCUCAAGCUCUGCUUGGUGUUGGGCCCUGCCCGCUGCGGCCGGCCCUAAAGACAGUGGCGGUGCCGCCUGACCCUGAGCGUAGUACAUCUCUCGCUCCAGUGCCCGGUGGUAGCCUGCCAGAACCCCAACUCUCGUGGUUGACCUCGGAUCAGGUAGGGAUACCCGCUGAACUUAAGCAUAUCAAUAAGCGGAGGA
rnacentral:misc_RNA from 1 species